rnacentral:rRNA from 1 species
AUUGGACGCUGGCGGCAUGCUUUACACAUGCAAGUCGAACGGUAACAGGCCGCAAGGUGCUGACGAGUGGCGAACGGGUGAGCAAUGCAUCGGAACGUGCCCAGUCGUGGGGGAUAACUACUCGAAAGAGUAGCUAAUACCGCAUACGAUCUAUGGAUGAAAGCGGGGGACCGUAAGGCCUCGCGCGAUUGGAGCGGCCGAUGUCAGAUUAGGUAGUUGGUGGGGUAAAGGCUCACCAAGCCAACGAUCUGUAGCUGGUCUGAGAGGACAACCAGCCACACUGGGACUGAGACACGGCCCAGACUCCUACGGGAGGCAGCAGUGGGGAAUUUUGGACAAUGGGCGCAAGCCUGAUCCAGCAAUGCCGCGUGCAGGAAGAAGGCCUUCGGGUUGUAAACUGCUUUUGUACGGAACGAAACGGCUCUGGUUAAUACCCGGGGCUAAUGACGGUACCGUAAGAAUAAGCACCGGCUAACUACGUG